GACGAACGCUGGCGGCGUGCUUAACACAUGCAAGUCGAGCGGUAGGGCUCCUUCGGGAGUACACGAGCGGCGAACGGGUGAGUAACACGUGAGCAACCUGCCCUUCACUUUGGGAUAACCCCGGGAACCGGGGACGUAAUACCGAAUACGACCACCGACGACAUCAUCUGGUGGUGGAAAGACUCCGGCGGUGAGGGAGUGGGCGUCGCGGCCUAUCAGCUAGUUGGUGGGGUAACGGGCCCACCAAGGCGACGACGGGUAGCCGGCCUGAGAGGGUGACCGGCCACACUGGGACUGAGACACGGCCCAGACUCCUACGGGAGGCAGCAGUGGGGAAUAUUGGACAAUGGGCGAAAGCCUGAUCCAGCAACGCCGCGUGAGGGAUGACGGCCUUCGGUU
rnacentral:rRNA from 1 species